CAAAAACAUUGCUUCCUGACAACUGAUAGGAAGUAACUUCUGCCCAGUGACAUAGUUCAACGGCCGCGGUAUCCUAACCGUGCAAAGGUAGCAUAAUCACUUGCCCAUUAAUUGUGGGCUAGAAUGAAAGAAUAAACGAAAUAAAUCCUGUCUCAGUUAAUUUUAUAUAAGUUAUUAUCUAGCUGAAGAAACCUAGAUAAAAUCGAAGGACAAGAAGACCCUAUAGAGCUUUAUCCUAAAAAAGAGUAACGCUUUUCUAAGAUUCGGUUGGGGCGACCAAGGAUAUACUAAACAUCCUUCUCUAAAAGAUAAAUUUAUCAAAUUCAUGACCCUAAAUACUAGAUCAUAAAACCAAGCUACCUUAGGGAUAACAGGCUAAUCUCAUUAAAGAGUUCUUAUCAAUAAUGGGGGUUGGCACCUCGAUGUUGGCUUAGGGAAUCAACACGGCGCAAAAGUCGUGCAAAGAUGGUUUGUUCAACCAGUAAUACCCUACGUGAUC
rnacentral:rRNA from 1 species